rnacentral:rRNA from 1 species
AAACUGCGAAUGGCUCAUUAAAUCAGUUAUCGUUUAUUUGAUAGUACCUUACUACUUGGAUAACCGUGGUAAUUCUAGAGCUAAUACAUGCUUAAAACCCCAACUUCGGAAGGGGUGUAUUUAUUAGAUAAAAAACCAACGCCCUUCGGGGCUUCUUGGUGAUUCAUGAUAACUUUACGGAUCGCAUAGCCUUGCGCUGGCGACGGUUCAUUCAAAUUUCUGCCCUAUCAACUUUCGAUGGUAAGGUAUUGGCUUACCAUGGUUUCAACGGGUAACGGGGAAUUAGGGUUCGAUUCCGGAGAGGGAGCCUGAGAAACGGCUACCACAUCCAAGGAAGGCAGCAGGCGCGCAAAUUACCCAAUCCCGACACGGGGAGGUAGUGACAAUAAAUACUGAUACAGGGCUCUUUUGGGUCUUGUAAUUGGAAUGAGUACAAUUUAAACCUCUUAACGAGGAACAAUUGGAGGGCAAGUCUGGUGCCAGCAGCCGCGGUAAUUCCAGCUCCAAUAGCGUAUAUUAAAGUUGUUGCAGUUAAAAAGCUCGUAGUUGAAACUUGGGUCUGGCUGGCAGGUCCGCCUCACCGCGUGUACUUGUCCGGCCGGACCUUCCUUCUGGAGAACCUCAUGCCCUUCACUGGGCGUGUUGGGGACCAGGACUUUUACUUUGAAAAAAUUAGAGUGUUCAAAGCAGGCCUUUGCUCGAAUACGUUAGCAUGGAAUAAUAGAAUAGGACGUGCGGUUCUAUUUUGUUGGUUUCUAGGACCGCCGUAAUGAUUAAUAGGGACAGUCGGGGGCAUCAGUAUUCAAUUGUCAGAGGUGAAAUUCUUGGAUUUAUUGAAGACUAACUACUGCGAAAGCAUUUGCCAAGGAUGUUUUCAUUAAUCAGUGAACGAAAGUUAGGGGAUCGAAGACGAUCAGAUACCGUCGUAGUCUUAACCGUAAACUAUGCCGACUAGGGAUCGGGCGAUGUUCUUUUUUUUGACUCG